rnacentral:rRNA from 1 species
ACGUAGGGACCAAGCGUUGUUCGGAUUUACUGGGCGUAAAGGGCGCGUAUGCGGCGCGGUAAGUCACUUGUGAAAUCUCUGAGCUUAACUCAGAACGGCCAAGUGAUACUGCAGUGCUAGAGUGUGGAAGGGGCAAUCGGAAUUCUUGGUGCAGCGGUGAAAUGCGUAGAUAUCAAGAGGAACACCUGCGGCGAAGGCGGGUUGCUGGGCCGACACUGACGCUGAGGCGCGAAAGCUAGGGGAGCGAACGGGA